UCCUACGGGAGGCAGCAGUGGGGAAUAUUGCACAAUGGGCGCAAGCCUGAUGCAGCCAUGCCGCGUGUAUGAAGAAGGCCUUCGGGUUGUAAAGUACUUUCAGCGAGGAGGAAGGCGUUAAGGUAAAUAACCUAGCUGAUGACGUACUCGCAG
rnacentral:rRNA from 1 species